rnacentral:rRNA from 1 species
UACGUAGGGAGCAAGCGUUGUCCGGAAUCAUUGGGCGUAAAGCGCGCGUAGGUGGCCUCAUAAGUCCGCUGUGAAAGUCAAAGGCUCAACCUUUGAAAGCCGGUGGAUACUGUGAGGCUAGAGUACGGAAGAGGCGAGUGGAAUUCCUGGUGUAGCGGUGAAAUGCGCAGAUAUCAGGAGGAACACCUAUUGCGAAGGCAGCUCGCUGGGACGUUACUGACGCUGAGACGCGAAAGCGUGGGGAGCAAACAGG